AUUGACGCGUAUGGUUUGAACGACUCCGCCAACUCGUCUAUCGACAAAGGACUACAAAAGUCGGCUCAGAAAGACAAGGUGAGGUCUAUAAUGAGAAAAGAAAUGGAGAAAGCUGGUGUGAAGGAUCCUCAAAUACUGGAUAAGUCGUAUUGGAUUCAGAGAGUCGGUGAGCUCUCAAUCCAACUACAGCAAAGCAGUGAGUAUUGGGCACAAAAAGUGCGAGAUUUAACAACACAGAUGGAAAAUCAAGAAACAUGACAACUACUCCACUGCAUUUACUCCGAAACGGCCCUAAAAUCCCUGGAAAAAAGUUCACAUGUGCUACUUAAAUUUCUUCUUCAGUUCAGCUAUACUGUAGCUUUCCUCCACUUUGGGCUCUAAACCAGUAGAGGGAGAAAAUUAUAUUCUUUAGUUAGAAAAAUUGUUGACAAUUCUAGUGCUAAAUUCAUUAUAAUCUUUUCAUCACUAAAUAGUGAUCAGGCGGUAUAAAAUUCCAAUAUUUCCUUUUUGCAUCUUAUGGUCUGAAAAAAUACCUUUUGAUCUCUAGAAAUCUAGGGAACUCAAUCUUUGUUUUUCAUAAUUAUUUUUUCUGAAAGAAUAUUUUGGUCUUUUAGUGGCCUCGUUUUUAAUUUCAAUUUUUAUCAAAUGAUAAUAAUAUAUUUCAUUUAUAACCAUUGAGUGAAUUUGCAAAUAUCUCUUUUGAAGGGAAUUGUAAUCUGUAAAUGCUGUUACGUGCGCGAGCGUGAGAAAAGUAUAUUUUAUUAUUUUACUUUAUAAUUUUGAGAACUUUGUUUUAUUUAUUGAUAGAAUCAUCUCAUCUUAUGUACGUAAAGAAGUGUAAAGUUUGCCAAUAAAGAUGUUA